UAUAAGGUAUAAUGGUCGGCGAUAGAUCGAUAAUUUAUGUUAGCACCACCUUCAGAGAAAAAAGAAAAAAGGAAGGAAGAAAAACGGAGGAAGAAAAAAGGAAGAGAAAGGGCGCAUGCGCAUAGAAAGCUUAAAAAAAGAUUAAUAAAAUAAAAUUAAAAAGUAUGGAAAGGAGUAAGCAAGCGGCAGCAACCGACAGAAUAAACUAACCUGACCAGCCGCCACUACGGAGGAAAUCGCCGGGGGACAACUGGGCUAAAACAGAAUCGGAGAAGUGCAAUCCAGGGAAAAGUGAUCCGUGAUCAGCCGCAAUCAGCUGAUCGUCCAUAACCCCCAAGGCAUCAGUGAUGCGCAAUGUCAGCAACAGUGAUGUUCAUUUGGCUCAGCAGUGAUGUAACAAACAAAAAUCUAAGUUACUUCUUAUCAACAGUCGAGUCAAUCUAGCAAUAUCCGUUUAAUCAUCCAUCCAUCCGUCGGAUCUCAGAGACAACAAGAAAUGUGAACUACAAUUUGGAAUGAAAGUUCUCGUAUAUCUCACGCAGUUUAAGUCUAUUUUAUUUCAAUUUUAAAGAUAUUAGCAUUGAUAUUUUUUUAUCUACUGUAAACAUUUCAUCAAGAUCUGAUAAGAAACACCCAUUUGAAGGCAAAAUUGUCAAUUAAACUUUAACCUGUGCAAAAAGAAUUGAAACACAGAAGCGCAAU